ensembl:lncRNA
CUGAAAUGUGGCAAAAGGUCGCAAAGUUCAAGGGGGCCGAAUAGUUUCGCAAGGCACUGUAUGUCUCUUCGCCCUAACAAUGGGAGUCAUUGUCCACAAAGCGGCACGGCAGGCUGUCUAGCUCCCUCGUAUCCUUUCUUUGGAUUGGUGGAUACAUCUCAUUAUUGUAAUCCUUUUCAGAAUAUUCGAUGAGGGUUGUUGACGUCAACUGCCUGUAUUCAAUGGAGGGAGAUGCUAUGCUACUAGCCUCAUGCCAUGAAUAUGCAUAGCCAUCUUGAGACAACUCCGAUACAUAGUGUUUUUUUCUCAAAGUUGCCGAGAUGUCACGUCCUACAUAUAUCAGUACACUCGUAACAACUUAAGCAUUAUGAAACUUAUAUUCGGUCAAAUAAACCUCACGUAGCAAAUAUGCCAUAAAUGUUUUUAUUUGACAAAUUUGACAAAAACUCCCUGCUGGUGGGCGAAACAGAAAAGAAAAGCCACCUGCUGGAGACAGAUUUUCCAGAGUUAGGCCUCUCUCUUCCUCUUCCUCUGCUUAAAUCUCACUGGAUUGAUUGCUUUCAUUUUACCUGCGACUCUUUCAUACUCUUGCUUGUGGCUUAUGUUUUUUCCGGGUUGACGUUACGACCGUGAAAAUGUUUGUAAUGACCUGUCAAACACACCCAGGUAAUGGCUGAAAUGGGCUCAGUGGAAUACAUUGUCUUUCAUACAGUUGAAAUUUAAUACAGUUUGAAAUGUUUACAAAUUAGAUGCGCUGACUAAAAGCAACUUCCUGAAACGUAACAUUCAGAUUAUAGUGGUAUUAUGUCUGACCUCGCAAACAAUGUAAAGUAUGUAUAGAUAGGAGUAAUCUACUGUAGAUAAACGUGUUGAUUUUUAUCCAGGGGUAUACUGCUAUUGACACACUUGUUGAAUUAUGCAACAGAACAUGACAACAACAGUAAUUAAUGAGGCAGUCUAGACAGUACAGAUGAGUGCAGGUAGGGUAGACAGUGCAGGUGAGUACAGGUAGGGUAGACAGUGCCGGUGAGUGCAGGUAGGGUAGACAGUGCAAGUGAGUGCAGGUAGGGUAGAAGUGCAGGUGAGUACAGGUAGGGUAGACAGUACAGAUGAGUGCAGGUAGGGUAGAAGUGCAGGUGAGUACAGGUUGGGUAGACAGUGCAGGUGAGUACAGGUAGGGUAGACAGUGCAGGUGAGUACAGGUAGGGUAGACAGUGCAGGUGAGUACAGGUAGGGUAGACAGUGCAGGUGAGUACAGGUAGGGUAGACAGUGCAGGUGAGUACAGGUAGGGUAGACAGUGCAGGUGAGUACAGGUAGGGUAGACAGUGCAGGUGAGUACAGGUAGGGUAGACAGUGCAGGUGAGUACAGGUAGGGUAGACAGACCAAGUUUUUGGUGGUUGCAGCCCUGUUCCACCCACUUAUGCUAAUUUAUUGAUUUCAAUUUUAAAGAUACUCUUUGAAGAGGUAGGGUUUCAGGUGCUUUCGGAAGACAGGCAGGGACUCUGCUGUCCUAGCUUCAGGGGGAAGCUGGUUCCACCAUUGAAGUGCCAGGACAAAGAAGAGCUUGGACUGGGAUGAGCGGGAGCUGCCCUCCCAUAGGGGUGGGAGGGACAAAAGACCAGAAGUGACAGAGCGGAGUGCCCAGGUUGAGGUGUAGGGUUUGAGCAUAGCCUGAAGGUGGGGGGACUGAAGGUGGGAGACGACAAGUGCCUGGAUUAAGGUCAGCACCUGCAGGAGCUAGUCAUUGCUUUGUUGUUUUCAGAGAAUGACAGGGUGUUGUCCAGGGUCACCCCAAGAUUAAUUUGCACUCUAGGAGGGCAACACUGUGGAGUUGUCAGCCGUGAUGGAGACGUCUUUGAGCAGGCAGGCCUUUCCCAGGAGGAAGAG